rnacentral:misc_RNA from 1 species
GAGUUAUUUAUUUUUGUUUUUGGUGCUUUUUGCUUAAUUGUUUGAAAAAAAUUACGUUUAAAUCUAGGUUUUUUUAAUUAAUUUAUAGUAUGAAGCAUCUAUUCAUUGAACUUUGCAAAUUUUUCAAAAACAUUUGUGUAGCAAUAGGCUCCAUUACAGGCUUGUUUUCAUUACGCGAUUUAAAUCCAUGGUUCAAUGUGAGCACUGAAAUGUCUUCUAUGCAGUAUGCACACAAUAUUUUGGUGUCUCUGUGUUUAAUACUUUUAUUUUUGAACUGAUCUGUGCUUAAUACUUUGUUCUACUUAAGUUUAAAAACAAAAGAACAAAAAGAUGUAGGUUACUCUAUCCAAAAGCCUGCUAUUAUGAUAUGCUAUUGAUUGAUAGGAAUUGAAAAAAUCUCUAGACAAAAUCACCAGAACUCUAGCAUCUAUAUUUGCACCUUGGCAGGUUUCUUUCUUAAGACAAGUCAUAAAAAAGGAAGCUUUAAAAGUCAUUUUGUAUCUCGAAUGUCACAAAAAUACAAAGGUUCAGUCAUUUAAAUUACUAAGAGUUUUACAUGCAGCAUCCAAGCAAGUGAACAGGGUAUUUUUUUGAGAGACAUGAUACAGUAGAGUUUCCCCCAAAAAAUACAGGAGGCUUCACUUUCAGUUUUAUAGAGUAUGCUAAACUUGAGAUAUUCAUUUUUUGAUAAUUAAUUAAAUUAGUUAUUUUUCAAAAAAAAAUUAAAUUUGUUAUUAUGGUUUUAAAAAAAGGCAAAAAUAUACUAGAAAGCCUUUUUCUAAUAAAAAAUUGCACAAG